AACGAACGCUGGCGGCGUGCCUAACACAUGCAAGUCGAACGAGAAAGGGGCUUCGGCUCCGAGUAAAGUGGCGCACGGGUGAGUAACACGUGGGUAACCUGCCUCUAAGAUUGGGAUAACUCGUCGAAAGAUGAGCUAAUACCGAAUAAGACCACAGUUCCCGCGGGAACAGGGGUCAAAGGUAGCCUCUGCUUGCAAGCUAUCACUUAGAGAUGGGCCUGCGCACCAUUAGCUAGUUGGUAGGGUAACGGCCUACCAAGGCAAAGAUGGUUAGCUGGUCUGAGAGGAUGAUCAGCCACACUGGAACUGAGACACGGUCCAGACUCCUACGGGAGGCAGCAGGGGGGAAUAUUGCGCAAUGGGCGAAAGCUUGACGCAGCAACGCCGCGGGAGUGAUGAAGGCCUUCGGGUCGUAAAGCUCUGUCGGGAGGAACGAAUGCUCCUGAGGUUAACAGCCUCGGGAGGUGACGGUACCUUCAAAGGAAGCACCGGCUAACUCUGUG
rnacentral:rRNA from 1 species